rnacentral:rRNA from 1 species
AACGAACGCUGGCGGCGUGCCUAACACAUGCAAGUCGUACGAGAAAUCCUGGGCAACUGGGAGAGUAAAGUGGCGCACGGGUGAGUAACGCGUGGAUAAUCUGCCCUUCAGUUGGGAACAACUCAUCGAAAGGUGGGCUAAUACCGAAUAAUACUGCAAGACUUUGGUCAAGCAGUCAAAGAGAGCCUCUGCUUGCAAGCCCUCGCUGAAGGAUGAGUCCGCGUACCAUUAGCUGGUUGGUAGGGUAAUGGCCUACCAAGGCGACGAUGGUUAGCUGGUCUGAGAGGAUGAUCAGCCACACUGGAACUGAGACACGGUCCAGACUCCUACGGGAGGCAG